UACAGAGGUGGCAAGCGUUGUUCGGAAUUACUGGGCGUAAAGGGCGCGUAGGCGGACUUCUAAGUCGAACGUGAAAUCCCCGGGCUCAACCCGGGAACUGCGUCCGAGACUGGAAGGCUUGAAUCCGGGAGAGGGAUGUGGAAUUCCAGGUGUAGCGGUGAAAUGCGUAGAUAUCUGGAGGAACAUCGGUGGCGAAGGCGGCAUCCUGGACCGGUAUUGACGCUGAGGCGCGAAAGCCAGGGGAGCAAACGGG
rnacentral:rRNA from 1 species